AAGUCGUAACAAGGUAUCCGUAGGUGAACCUGCGGAUGGAUCAUUGAUAAAUGGAUUUUCCAUAAAAUCCAAAAAAAUCCAAUUCACCCCUCUGUGAACUGUGUGACAGACUUUCUUGGGCGAUGUUCCAUUUUCAUGUGAUUUUGCUCGGAUUAAGAACAAAUUAUGUGGAAAAGGGACCUUUCGGUUGGGAGACGUUCUCAACCCUUUUUCUUUAUUGAUUGUCGGAUAGAUAAUCAAAGAAGAAUAAGAUGUGGGGAGCCUGCCCCGAAAGUGUUCGCCCAAGUGUUAUUUAUCAACCUGAAUUGUGCUGUAUCUUUUUGUCUGAAAAUUGAAUGAAAAUUAAUUAGCGAUAACUUCUAACAACGGAUCUCUCGGCUCUC
rnacentral:misc_RNA from 1 species